GAUGAAGAACGCAGCGAAAUGCGAUAAGUAAUGUGAAUUGCAGAAUUCAGUGAAUCAUCGAAUCUUUGAACGCACAUUGCGCCCGCCAGUAUUCUGGCGGGCAUGCCUGUCCGAGCGUCAUUUCAACCCUCGAACCCCUCCGGGGGGUCGGCGUUGGGGAUCGGCCCUUUCACCGGGUGCCGGCCCCUAAAUACAGUGGCGGUCUCGCCGCAGCCUCUCAUGCGCAGUAGUUUGCACACUCGCACCGGGAGCGCGGCGCGUCCACGUCCGUAAAACACCCCAACUUCUGAAAUGUUGACCUCGGAUCAGGUAGGAAUACCCGCUGAACUUAAGCAUAUCAAUAAGCGGAAGA
rnacentral:misc_RNA from 1 species